rnacentral:lncRNA from 1 species
GUGAGUAUUUUGAGGGUGGUUAAAGGCAAUAUGUUUUCUUUACUGUAAAACAUUUUUUUAAAAAAAUUUAAGCAUUCACCAUAUAUUUUGAUCACACUUUACAUGUUGUGAACACAGUCCUAAUAAUGUGACCGAUUUUAACCACUUAAAAGAAAAAAAUAGUUUAAGUCACUCUAAUGUUUGUGAGUAUGGGGACUCAGAGUGGAGCUGCAAUUACUUAGUUGAUUUUCAUGGACCAACAUCAGAGAUAUUAUACAUAAAAUAUCUAGUGCAGCUCCUGGCACAUAGAGACUGUGUGAUUACUUGUAGCUAAUAUUAUAUUUGAUUGGACAGAUUUUACCAUCUUUUAUAAGUUAUAAAUAAAAAGACUAACGUUACAGUUUCCUGCCUUUGAGCAUCCCACCCAUGAAGCAUAGUCUGAGAAAUACUUAAUGUUAGCGUACAAGUCCCCAUUACCUGUUUUGAAUAUUUACUUUUCAGAAUACCUACUUUAUUAAGCACUGUACAUGUUUGGGCCAAUUUAUUUUAACAAGUUAAAUGCACAGCGACAGGUCUGAUGGAGGACACUUUGCUAUCAACGAAUGAUGAGAAAUAAUACUUAGUUUUAUAUUAUGGUAAAAUGUACACAAAGUUUAUCAUUUUAACUAUUUUAGCAGUGCAGUAUAGUCAGCGGCCUUAAUUACAUUAACAUUGUUACUUACAGGUUUUGAAUUUUUCUAUAUUUCAAAAUGUUUUGCUCAGUUUUCCUUUUUUAGUCACAAGAGUGACAUCUUAACUUGAUAACAGAAAGGAGAAAACUCUCACUUUUGCAAUUCUAGUUUCUACUCAAACUGAGUCAAAGUUAUGGCUAACAAUUCCUAUGUGUCAUUGAGAACUGCUUAAGAAUUUGUCGGAAUUUGAAUGUAAAUUUCCUUUGCUUAACAGCUUUUCUUACAGAGAACACACUAAGGAAAAAAGUUUUAAGUUGGGAUAGAAUAAUGAGGCGGUUGAAAUUAUACUUUAGCUAUGAUUAAAUUACUUAAUAGAUACAGAAAAAUACUGCAUAUGGGUAAAUUUGAAAGAAAGUAUGGAAUAUUAUAAAGUUAAUGUAGAUAAAACACAUUCUUCAGUUGAAUAAACAUUUUUACAAGAGUUGAUAUAUACAAGGCACUUUGCUAAGUACUAUGGGAGUUACAAAGAUAGACAAGAUGUGGAUUUAAUCUCAUUGGAGAACCUAACGCAGAUCAGGGUAAGGUUGCAGAAGAUUGCACUUAGAACAGCACAAAGAUGAACAAUUUAAUUUAACUGGAGAUUUACAAAUCUGUUAAUGGUAAACUUUUUAUUUAAUUAUCUUUUAUAUAAAAUAAUUCGAGAUUAUAGAUUAAAAAGAAAAUAUGUUGAAACUCUUAAUUCUCUUCUUUGUUGAAAAGCUAUUCCUUGCUUUAUAUUUUGAAAUUCCUUUUCAUUUUGAGGAUUUGAUUUGUUUCAAUAAAUCAAAAGAUUAAAAUAAGCUUUCUGGGAUAGGAAGUAGUACACUACAAUUACAGAAUUUAGAACAAAUUAUUUUUCAAUACUUUGUACAUUACAGUUCCAAUAAAGAACAGUGACUGCUCUCAUCAUCUAUUUAUUUAUGUUCCUUUGGAGAAAUUCUUUCUCUGAGAUUUCUGCACUGAAGUGUAAUUUGUAAUUUAAAAAUAAGGCAUGUUACUCAAACUGCAUUCCUUCUUUCCUUGUAUCUCUUCUCUUCUUUCCAUCUUAAUUCUGUUUUUCAAAGGCUUCCUCUGCUUAUCUGUCAUGUUCUCCUUUCCCAAAUACUAUUCUUUUUAUAAAAUACUCCAUAUAGCUACCAUCUGCUUCCUCCUCUACUUUUUGUAAUGUUCCUGACUGAAACUGCUUAUGCACAGAAUCAUAAGCUUUUAGAACUCAAAGAUAUUUCAUGGUAAAUAUCUUCAUAAUGGUAUAAGAUUUAUUACUCUUAACUGUUACUAUACAUUUUUAGAUUUUUCUCUCAGAAUUGUCUUCUCCUGGAGGUCCCUACAAUUAUUUGAAGAAUAUAAGAUUAAUGUUUAUUGAAAUUAUCUCUCUUUAGGAUAACUUUUUCUAUGUUGUACUGUUAUAAGAACUAGGAAUUUUUAACCUUACCUCUCAAGCUACUCCUAAUUUUCUUUCAUUAUAUUUGCUCUUGUGAUCUAUAUUUUGCUUCAAUGAAUCCUCCCACCAGUCCAUUACUGUUUUCCUUUUUAUUCUCAUAGCAAAACCUAUGUUAAGUGAUUUUUUUUUGUACUGGGGAUCGAACUCAGGUCCUUGCACUUGCACAGCAGGCGGCGAAACCACUGAGCUAAAUCCCUGGCCCCUGUUAAGUGAUUUUUUUCAAGGAAGCUGAUUGUAAGAUGUUGGAUCUAAUCCAGUCUCUAGCAUUGGUAAAUAGUGGUUAAACCGAAAUGAAAGCCAAUUAACUUCAUAACUGUUGCCUGCUUUCAUGUUGCUCUUCUUUGCUUUCCCUUCCCCUCUUUUCUUUUUUACUGAGCACUGCUGUAUGCGACCACACGUCAGGCCAACUCCUGGACAGACAGUGGACGUAGCACACGGUCUCUGCUCCCAUGAGCCCAACAGCUGGAUUGCGGACAUAGCAGGGAUUGUUCCAUUUGCCAUUCCACCAACAGUGUAUAAGAACUAUUUCUGUGGAGCCAGACUCUGCCUGGUCUCCUGGGAGCCCUGAGGACCAGGACAACCUCCUGCCCCUGGAGCACUGAUGAUCAUGAGGAUCCCACAGACUUCAGACACUAAGGUGGAUAUUAUGGGGGUGGAGAAAAGGAUUUUACAAGCUGUACUGUAUGAGCUUCAUGUGCUGCUGAGCCAGAAAAUGUGCUCCAGGAGGUUGAAACAGCAAGUGCUAGAUAUGCAAGGCAAGCACAACAACUUCUGGAGAGUCUGGGCUGGAAACAAGUUGGAAACCUGCUUCUCAGAAGCCAUGAAGAGGAGAAACAGAGAAGAGUGGGCCAAGGGCAGCAGAGAAGCAGCCCCUCAAGGUGAUUAUAGACCUGGAGCUCAGUCACGAAUGUCUGUAUCUAUUCCAAUCCUACCUCCUCAAAUGGGUCCAGCAGAGGAAAGGUCUGGUGCAGUUGGAUUGUCUGAAGCU